UACGUAGGGGGCAAGCGUUGUCCGGAAUUAUUGGGCGUAAAGAGCGCGUAGGCGGUCCGAUAAGUCGGCUGUGAAAGUCUAGGGCUCAACCCUGGAAAGCUGGCCGAUACUGUCGGACUAGAGUCCGGAAGAGGCGAGUGGAAUUCCCGGUGUAGCGGUGAAAUGCGCAGAUAUCGGGAGGAACACCAAUGGCGAAGGCAGCUCGCUGGGACGGUACUGACGCUGAGACGCGAAAGCGUGGGGAGCAAACAGG
rnacentral:rRNA from 1 species